UAUGUACUCCCUUCGUCCGGAAUUACUUGUCAUUAAAAUAGAUGUAUCUAAAACUAAAAUACAUCUAGAUACAUCCAUUUCAAUGACAAGUAUUUUCGGACGAAGGAAGUAUAUG
rnacentral:pre_miRNA from 1 species